CAGCCGCCGCGGUAAUACGGAGGGUGCAAGCGUUAAUCGGAAUUACUGGGCGUAAAGCGCACGCAGGCGGUCUGACAAGUCAGAUGUGAAAUCCCCGGGCUUAACCUGGGAACUGCAUUUGAAACUGUCAGGCUGGAGUCUUGUAGAGGGGGGUGGAAUUCCAGGUGUAGCGGUGAAAUGCGUAGAGAUCUGGAGGAAUACCGGUGGCGAAGGCGGCCCCCUGGACAAAGACUGACGCUCAGGUGCGAAAGCGUGGGGAGCAAACAGGAUUAGAUACCCCUGUAGUCCCUGUCUCUUAUAC
rnacentral:rRNA from 1 species